rnacentral:rRNA from 1 species
GACUGGGGCGGUCGCCUCCUAAAAGGUAACGGAGGCGCUCAAAGGUUCCCUCAGAAUGGUUGGAAAUCAUUCAUAGAGGGUAAAGGCAUAAGGGAGCUUGACUGCGAGACCUACAAGUCGAGCAGGGUCGAAAGACGGACUUAGUGAUCCGGUGGUUCCGCAUGGAAGGGCCAUCGCUCAACGGAUAAAAGCUACCCCGGGGAUAA